rnacentral:rRNA from 1 species
CUUUUAUGGGGUGACUGCGUACCUUUUGUAUAAUGGGUCAGCGACUUAUAUUCUGUAGCAAGGUUAACCGAAUAGGGGAGCCGAAGGGAAACCGAGUCUUAACUGGGCGUUAAGUUGCAGGGUAUAGACCCGAAACCCGGUGAUCUAGCCAUGGGCAGGUUGAAGGUUGGGUAACACUAACUGGAGGACCGAACCGACUAAUGUUGAAAAAUUAGCGGAUGACUUGUGGCUGGGGGUGAAAGGCCAAUCAAACCGGGAGAUAGCUGGUUCUCCCCGAAAGCUAUUUAGGUAGCGCCUCGUGAAUUCAUCUCCGGGGGUAGAGCACUGUUUCGGCAAGGGGGUCAUCCCGACUUACCAACCCGAUGCAAACUGCGAAUACCGGAGAAUGUUAUCACGGGAGACACACGGCGGGUGCUAACGUCCGUCG